rnacentral:rRNA from 1 species
GAACGAACGCUGGCGGCGCGUCUUAAGCAUGCAAGUCGAACGGCAAGAGGUAGCAAUACCUCCUAGAGUGGCGGACUGGUGAGUAACACGUGGGUGACAUACCCUUCAGAUGGGGAUAGCUAUUAGAAAUAGUAGAUAAUACCGAAUACGAGCACAGGGGUUAGAGAUCUGUGAGGAAAGGAGCUAAGGCUCCGCUGAAGGAAUGGCCUGCGGCCCAUUAGCUAGUUGGUGAGGUAAGAGCCCACCAAGGCGAUGAUGGGUAUCCGGCCUUAGAGGGUGAACGGACACAUUGGGACUGAGAUACGGCCCAGACCCCUACGGGAGGCAGCAGCUAAGAAUAUUCCGCAAUGGACGAAAGUCUGACGGAGCGACGCCGCGUGGAUGAAGAAGGCCGGAAGGUUGUAAAAAUCCUUUUGAAACUGAAGAAUAAGCGUUGUAGGGAAUGACAGCGUGGUGACAGUAGGUUUUGAAUAAGCAACGGCUAAUUACGUGCCAGCCGCAGC